UAGCUGUGCCUACGGUGUACAAAUGUGAUAGACUCUGAAUUGUAAGUUGCUUUGGAUAAAAGCAUCUGCUAUGUAAUGUAGUUGUUAAAGAAUACGCAAGAAAAUGAAUAAAAAAGACAAAAAAGAAAAGUAUCAUAACAGGUUGAUUUAUAUUCAACACAUGUCACACUGCUGAUAAACUCUGAGUCUGCAAGCAUCCAGAUUGUACAUGUAAACUUAAUUUAUUAUGCAGCAGCUCACAUCAUGAGACUAAUAUAGGAAGCAAGAAAUAAAAAAAAGUUCAAUUUAAAGUAGUUUUGCAUAAUUUGCUCUUUUUUUUUUUAACUGCACGUUACAUUUUUGUCUAUUUAAAAAUCGCAACACUGUCCAUGUUACAAGAACAUGGACAGCUCUGAUUUUCCCUCGUGGAAAUAUUUGGCAAUAAAAAAUGUUACUGAAAACACUUUUCACUCCACUUGCAUAAUAUCUCUGGAUUGUGAGACCGGAUCAAAAAUACCUGAUCACUUCUGGGCGUUUAUACAGUUACUGAUACUCGAGUUUAGAUCAAAAGUUCUUAUCUCUGGUGUUUAACAGAAUGAGUCCAAACGUCCACUCAGCGGGGUAUUCGUGAUGAGAAAGUAAACAAAAAGACAAAGACGGGAUUAUACGAGGCUGUGACUAAACAGACGGACCGAUUUACUCCCCAGUCACAUAAAACGCUCAACAAAAGACGUGUCAAAGGAAGACUGGCAAUAACAGUGAAAGAGUGUCCUACUUCUUACACUCAGCGAUUAGUCAACAAGUCUCUUCAGUCAUUCCUGUAUAAUGAUCUGGAUAUUCUUGUUCAGGGGUGUGAACUACAUUAUGAAAAACAUUUAAUAACUUUUUAGUCUUUGCAAAAGUAUUUAUUUAUUGAAUGUCAGGUAUUAGUAUGUUUGUGUUUUUUCUUUUAAUUCAUAAAAAAAAAAAGUUCUCCACAGGAGAAAUACAGUUUCCUCCUGUCGUCAUCAUCAUCAUCCAUUAAGAUUCCUGGUUCGUCAUUGAUACUUACUCUGUCCCUUGAUUUUUUUUUUUCCAUGUUCGUUAUUUCGCUCCUUAGAACAUUAUUGUCCUUCUCUUAAUUUUUUUUGGACUUCCUGUGAGUUGCUAAAGUUCAGUUUUGUCUUUUUUCUUCCCUUGUUUGUGUCCAUCGCCGGCGGCACACCUGAAUCCCAGGUUGUCAGAGGCAGAGUCGGGAGUGUUGCCCAUCCUUUAGGACACAGAAUCAGACCAUCAGUCACUGUCAUACUGAUGCUCUGUGGACUUAAGAGUCUGAAAGUGUAGGGUCUCUUCUUUUGAAAGAACUCACCUGGUCGUGAUUCGUGCUUUAUGAUUGGCUGAACCAUCCACGGUGUCGAUCCAGGAGCCCCCCCGCAGCGCGUACAUUGGUUGUGCUGCUGGAAACGGUGUGGACGUCCAUUCCCAUGUGUUUCCCAUCAUGUCAUACAGUCCUGCAUGAGGAAUCAACAUUGCUCUUAUACUAUUAGGAAGCACACCUAUAUAAUAUUACAAGGCCUGGACUCUCUUUGGUUUCAACAUUUUCUGGAAACAUAUAUUUCUGUCUAUUGCUUUCAACUAAAGUCAUCUCUGUUUCAAAGUAGCACUUUCAAUCUCAUAUCAUCUCAUUAAUGUUUUUCUUUCAACUUCAAUACAUGGAGAGUUACCAUAACUGUUCUGAGAAGGAAACGCUGUGACAGGAGAGACCCCAUGGUAUCCAUCCUCUGCAGUGUCUCCAUCCGGAAAUGAUCCCUAAAACAUAACGAAGAUUAUUAGUUAUUGCAUGGCAUGCAUUUUCACAUUUCCACAUGCUUUUUAUGUGAAAGCGUGACAACAUAUCUAUAAUAUCUGUUGGUUUUCACUGAUUUAAAGAGUCAAAUAGUACCAAACACAAUAUUUUGGUGCAAAGUUUUUUUUCUGAAUGUAUCUAAGUUAAUACAAAUGUGCUAAUGCUACUGCAACAUGCAUUAUUGUUGUAAGCUGACCUGCCACAGGUUGGUUCUGUUGCCCUGGAACUUGUUUCCCCACGGAUAAGUCCGACCUGGAACACAAGAGGAAGGAGAGACUUAAGAGGAGAGCAAACAAUUAAAUAUAUAGUCUUUGACUGGUGAAGCGUGAAUGUAAGUCAAAGCCCGGUUCUAGCUGUGUUCAAUAAAUGUUAGUCACGAGUAGAAAAAGUAUCAUAAAGGUGGUACAUACAGUAUUUCUUCUAUGUCUUCAGUGUGUAAACUGUGUACCUUGCAGCCCCCCACGCGCAGCCCACUCCCACUCCUCCUCAGUAGGCAGUCUCUUGUCCUUCCACCGGCAGAAGGCCUGAGCAUCGUUCCAGCUCACCUGAACCACUGGGAAGUUCAGGCACUCCCGAAUGCCGGAACCGGGUCCUGCAGGCUGGACAGUAGAGGGUCAAAGGAGUGAAAGAAGGGCAAUGAAGGCAUGCUAGGAGACCAUAGCAGAGAUAGGGAUUCACUCGUGACCUCACCUGUCUCCAAAACACUCGUUCUAUGGGCAACCACCAAGGAGCUGACUGGAUGGGAAAUAAGAGCGAAAAGUUAUUCACCAGACGGCCUUACAAAUGGGCUGCAGUUGAACCUCCUUGGUGGGAGCCUCUCCGUCUCUCCCAUCAGCUGCACUGGUUCCCAUUAACGUCUUUCCUCCCGGUAUGUUCGACAUCUCAUCUGCUGCUGUUUGUUAGGAGGAAACUCGUCUCCAUCAUGUUGAUAUAAUUCGUGUUUUUGUAUGUUUAGAAAUUAAAAAAGGUGAUUUCUUACCCGCCACUGCCAGUAAAAACACCGCAGAUACCAAGCAAACCGUUUUAACGUUCAUUUUUGACGGGCUGGUUUUAACCAACGUUGAUUUUACAUUAAGCGUAUUUAAAUAGCUUUGUAUUUAAAUACAAGUUUAAGAUUAAACUAGCUGCAAAAACUUAUUAUACUUCGAUUAAUGGUUACAUUUCUCUGUCGGAGAGAUUUCACCGUCGGCAACGGAAGUGUGUCCAACGAUAAAAAGGUUCCGUGUAAAACAAAACGUUCCCGAAUUAUUUAAAACUCCCAACACACCAGGGUUCAUUUAUUUGUAUGUACAAAAACGGAAACUAUUCAUGUUAUCAAUAAUAAGCUCUAGUAAAGUUACGCAAAGAAAUAAAACAAGUGUUUGUAGCAUCCGAGAUAUUAAAGAUCUACCACCAUAGAAAUAUUACUACUAAAGCAACUCAUUGAGCCUGAAAAACUAAUCGCUCCCCUUGAUAAAUACAUUUGUACAUUCAUUAAACUACUGUAGGUCCCGUUUGUUAAAAAGUGACGCUAAAUAGGAUCUAAAAAAAGUUAUUUCAAUGUUUUUUUUAAAUUUUGUGUUUUUACUAAGACUCAAAUAAUUAAUCAUGCAUAGAUUUAGUUUCAACAAAUGCCACCACUGAAGUUUUUACAGUUCAAUUAUGUGCAUGUGUAACAGAAACGUUAUAGUAGAGGUUUAUAUUGUACUCUUGUGAGAAGCACUUUAAUGUAACAGGUGGAGAUGAAGCUAAGUUCAAUUGUCUUAUAUACAGUUGAAUCUCUAACAGUGCAUAUUUUGCAAUUGUAAGUUGUGUGUAAAAUAUAUAUUUGAAGUAAA